UGAGGAAUAUUGGUCAAUGGGCGCGAGCCUGAACCAGCCAUCCCGCGUGCAGGAAGAAUGCCCUAUGGGUUGUAAACUGCUUUUUCGCAUGAAGAACAUUCCGGUUGCGACCGGGACUGACGGUAAUGCGUGAAUAAGCACCGGCUAACUCCGUGCCAGCAGCCGCGGUAAUACGGAGGGUGCAAGCGUUAUCCGGAUUUAUUGGGUUUAAAGGGUGCGUAGGCGGCGAUUUAAGUCAGUGGUGAAAUCCUGCAGCUUAACUGUAGAACAGCCAUUGAAACUGAAUUACUUGAGUGAUCUUGAGGUAGGCGGAAUGUGUAGUGUAGCGGUGAAAUGCUUAGAUAUUACACAGAACACCGAUUGCGAAGGCAGCUUACUAAGGAUUUACUGACGCUGAUGCACGAAAGCGUGGGGAUCAAACAGG
rnacentral:rRNA from 1 species